rnacentral:misc_RNA from 1 species
GAUGAAGAACGUAGCGAAAUGCGAUAAGUAGUGUGAAUUGCAGAAUUCAGUGAAUCAUCGAAUCUUUGAACGCACAUUGCGCCCCUUGGUAUCCCGAGGGGCAUGCCUGUUCGAGCGUCAUUUCACCACUCAAGCCUGGCUUGGUGUUGGGCGACGUCCCCUUUGGGGACGCGCCUCGAAACGCUCGGCGGCGUGGCACCGGCUUUAAGCGUAGCAGAAUCUUUCGCUUUGGAAGUCGGGGCCCCGUCUGCCGGAAGACCUACUCGCAAGGUUGACCUCGGAUCAGGCAGGGAUACCCGCUGAACUUAAGCAUAUCAAUAACGGAGG